CCAAAAUCAAUGUCUUUUGUACAGAUGGUCAUUGGGAAAAGCCAGGGGAUUUUGUCUGUUCCUAAAAGUUCAAAGUCCCUUCAAAGUGCCUUGCUUGUUAUUUGCGCUCCACAGGAUUCUCCACAAACGGUCUCCCAGAACUGUCUCCAUGAGCCCCUGAAACGUUGCGGGAGCAUUUUUGAGCCCAAACCUUUGAGCCUGCAGGAGUGAUGAAGUGAUGAAAUGAUGACGGCUGCUCCUAACGCCAUACAGACUUCAUAUAAAUCCAUAAUGAACUUUUUCACACUAACUGUUGUUACCCAGAUGAGGAUGGGUUCCCUUCUGAGUCGGGUUCCUCUCAAGGUUUCUUCCUCUUAAAACAUCUUAGGGAGUUUUUCCUUGCCACCGUCGCCACUCAGUGGCUUGCUCAGUUGGGAUAAAUUCGCACCUUUAAUAUCUGUAUACCAUGUUGAUAUUUCUGUAAAGCUGCUUUGAGACAAUGUCUAUUGUAAAAAGCGCUAUACAAAUAAAAUUGAAUUGAAUUGAAUUGAAUUGAAUGAAGGCCAUCUUGGCUUUGCUGUUGACAAAACACAAUACAAUCUCAAAGAUCAGCGAUAACCAUUAAGCUUCCAUUAAGCUUAAAACAAUGAAUUAGCACGGAUAAGAAAUAAACCAAUGUGUGAAUGGGAAUGAAGUGUGGGUGUGUCUGAGUGUGUGAAUGAGUGUUGGUGUGAGAUCGCGGCGUCCGGGCACACUGACCGAUUUGGAGGAUGGGAUGGCAACUGGAGAAUGUAAUCAGCCCUCGUCAGGCUCCAAGAAGGGAGGUAACAGGCCUUGAACUUGUCUUUGAACAGCUCACCACGAACAGCCAUUUGUACAAGUGCUCUGUGUCGCACUGGACUGCAUGCACAGAAAGCAUUAGAUCAAAAGCGGCCGUCUCCCCACUCCACACAGUAACCAUAUCUUUUCCUCUCACUUGACAACCUUCUCACGAGCCAAGCCAACCUCGACUGGUGCCCGUCCUCUUUUCACCUCAUAGGUGAAAUAGGCCUCGCCUCCAUUUCCCUUUCUGCAGUUAAUUGACUUACUCCACCCUAUCCGUUAAAGGUAAAAGUGAAAAAUAACCAUUGCACAUUCCCGUAUAGUUUACUGCACUGUCACACUGUGUCAAAAGUCAGCAGUUGAAAGCCCCAGCGCUGCCAAGCAGCCAAUGUUGGGCCCUUAAGCAAGGCCCUUAAUCCUGUCUGCUCUAAGGGUGCUGUAUUAUGGUUGAUUGUGUGCUCUGAUC
ensembl:lncRNA